AGUGAACGCUGGCGGUAGGCCUAACACAUGCAAGUCGAACGGCAGCACAGUAAGAGCUUGCUCUUACGGGUGGCGAGUGGCGGACGGGUGAGGAAUACAUCGGAAUCUACUUUUUCGUGGGGGAUAACGUAGGGAAACUUACGCUAAUACCGCAUACGACCUACGGGUGAAAGCAGGGGAUCUUCGGACCUUGCGCGGUUGAAUGAGCCGAUGUCGGAUUAGCUAGUUGGCGGGGUAAAGGCCCACCAAGGCGACGAUCCGUAGCUGGUCUGAGAGGAUGAUAAGCCACACGGGAACGGAGACACGGUCCAGACGCCUACGGGAGGCAGCAGUGGGGAAUAGGGGACAAUGGGCGCAAGCCUGAUCCAGCCAUACCGCGUGGGUGAAGAAGGCCUUCGGGUUGUAAAGCCCUUUUGUGGGGAAAGAAAAGCAGCAGGUUAAGACCCCGCUGUUCUGACGGUACCCAAAGAAUAAGCACCGGCUAACUUCGUG
rnacentral:rRNA from 1 species